rnacentral:rRNA from 1 species
UCAUCAUGCCCCUUAUGACCUGGGCUACAAACGUGAUACAAUGGCUGAAACAAAGGGCAGCGAAGCAGUGAUGUGGAGCGAACCCAAAAAGCAGUCUCAGUUCGGAUUGAAGUCUGCAACUCGACUUCAUGAAGUCGGAAUCGCUAGUAAUCGCGGAUCAGAACGCCGCGGUGAAUACGUUCUCCGGGGUUU